GACCUUCUUCCCCUUCCUCAUUCCCACAUUCUACCAGGAGUCUGUCCUCUGGCCUGUACCUGGACUUCGCUAUCCUCUCCCUGCCCCAAAAAGAGGUUUGAGGGAGAACAGCCACGAGGACACGGCCUCACUCAGUACUCAAGGUCAGUACCAUAGAGUUAUCUGUAGAUAGCUCUAAGAGAAGAGGAGCAUCAUGAGGACUGAGUCCUGAGUUCUUAGAACCAGGUGAGGGAUGCAGUCUUGGGCUCCUGAAGGACUAAAGUCAGGAAAAUUCAAGGAGCUGGGGAAUAGAGAUCCAAGUGCGGAGCAGGCAAUGACGGGAGAUUUGGAAUAGGGAACGCUGAGUCACCAGAAAUGGAAACUCCAAGUUAUAGAGAGCUCCUGGACCAGCAGUAAGAUAGACUCUGAGCACCUGGGUCAGAAGAAAUCAUGGGUGAGUGUCCAGGCCUUCAAGACACAGCAACCAGGAGAAGGCUGAGAGGCCAAACCCAGGCAUGUUCAAGAUCACCAAGAAAGGGCAUCCUGGCCAGGAAGGUGGAGUGGUGGGUUUUCAUUCAACAAAUAUUCACUGUUUACCUACAAACGUUGUGCCAAGCCCUUUGCUGGACACUGGGGUUUCCAGGAACGUGUUACAAUCCCUGACCUCACUAUAAAGCCAGUGGACAGUGUUAAGGAGCUAGCACGGAACUGGAACCAGGGGAAGUGCUAUGACACAGGACACAUCUGCUGGGGAAACCCAGCGGGCAGCAAUUAACUUGCGGUGGGGAAGAGGAAGUUUCACGGAAGAGGCACCAUGAGGGUGAAGUUGGCCAGACAGAGAAAAGGUCAGGACCUUCCAGGCCGAGGCGAGGCCUGUGUACAGGCCUGGUGGCAUGGAGAGCUGAGUGUGUUAGAGCAGAGAGGGCAAGGAAGAGGGCACAGCCUCUGACCUCACAAUACCCAGGGCCCACUGGGCCAGCCUGGCAGACUCUGCACCCUCCUUCAGCCCGGGCAAGGCCCGGGGCCCUGGGCAGCCUCCAGGUGCAGUGCCCUCCCGUGGGCCGCACCCUUCCCACUGCCCCAGGGCAUGUCUCUACUCACCAAUUAUGAAGGGCUUCGGCAUCAGAUAGAGAGGCUGGUGCGGGAAAAUGAGGAACUGAAGAAGUUGGUGCGGCUCAUUCGGGAGAAUCACGAGCUCAAGUCAGCGAUCAAGACUCAGGCAGGCGGGCUCGGCAUCAGCGGGUUCACGAGUGGGCUUGGUGAGGCAACAGCAGGCGUUCCCUCACGCCAGAACAAUGGUGUCUUCCUGCCCCCGUCCCCAGCAGUGGCAAACGAACGAGUCCUGGAAGAAGUGGGGAUCAUGGCCUUGGCACCCCUGGCCGAGAUGCUAACCAGCUUGCAGCCCAGCGCCACACCGGGCUCACUCAUGAGCCCCCUGACAGGCACUCUCAGCACACUGAUGUCUGGCCCAGCACCCACGUCACAGAGCAGCCCCCUCACCAGCUUCCUGACCAGUCCCAUUGCGGGACCCCUAACAGGCACACUGGCCAGUUCCCUGGGCCUGCCCUCCACUGGCACCCUGACUCCCAACAGCCCCCUGGCAGGCCCUGUGGCCAUGUCCCAGAGCAGCCCCCUGAUAGCCCCUGUGACGGGCACGGUGGCUGUCUCUCUGAGCAGCCCCCUCCUCAGCUCCACUGCCACCCCACUAGGGGUCUCUCAGAACCUGCUGGCCAACCCCAUGAGCAACCUGGUCCUGCCAGAGGCCCCAAGGCUGCGGCUGGCUGAGCCACUCCGCGGAGGCCCCUCUGGGCCCCAGUCCCCAGCUUGCGUGGUACCCACUGCCACCACCAAAGUCCCAUUCUCCACUGAGCCCCCCCAGUCGACCCAGGACCCAGAGCCUCUCAGCAUGGCGUUUGCAGGCGCACCCCUCCAGUCCUCCACCCCUAUCAGAACCAUGGGCACACCUGCUCCCGAGACGGCCUUCUCCUUCAACACUUCGGACACACAGGCCCAGCCCAGUGCCGCCCAGGAACAAGUGGUCCCUGCAUCUGUCCCCACCUCCCCUACGGUCACCAUCCUUGCCUCUGCCCCCGCCCUUGCCCCCCAGGUUGCCACCAGCUACACACCCUCAAGCACCACCCACAUCGCCCAGGGUGCCCCCCAUCCCCCUUCCCGAAUGCAUAAUUCCCCAACCCGGAACCUGCCUGUCCCCCGCUGUCCUCCACACAACGCCCACUCCCCACCUCGUACCUCAUCCUCCCCGGCUUCAGUCAAUGACUCUCGAGGUCCACGCACCACAGAACCGUCGACGAAGAGCAUGAUGGAGGUGGAACGGAAGCUGGCCCACCGCAAGACCAGCAAGUUCCCCGAGAACCCCCGAGAGUCGAAGCAGCUGGCCUGGGAGAGGCUGGUGGGUGAGAUUGCCUUCCAGCUGGACCGCAGGAUCCUGUCCAGCAUCUUCCCAGAGCGCGUACGGCUCUACGGCUUCACUGUCUCCAACAUCCCAGAGAAGAUCAUCCAGCUGUGUUUAUCUGUGGAUUGCAGGCCUAUGUGUAGCCUAAGCGGGAGCUACUGUGAGCUGCAUGGGUCCAGGUUGGAGCUUUGCCUCUGGUUAAAGCAUCCUUGGCAGGGAAACUGAGGCUCAGUCCCAGUGUGAUGCAGAAGCAGCCGUUGAGCACGGCUGUCCAUGGGCCCUCACUCCUGCGCUGAACCUCGAUGGUGUCUUCCUGCCCCCAACAACUGUGCAUAUUACUCGUUUGCCUAGAAGGCUCAGGGGCCAAGAACCUCCAGCUGGGGAGAGACAGGCGCAUCCCAGGCUUCCCUGAACCCCAGUGACCACAAGCUGGAUGAGAAGCUGUGCCAGAGGCUCACACAGCGCUAUGUGAGCAUCAUGAACAGGCUGCAGAGUCUGGGCUACAACGGGCGGGUGCACCCUGCGCUGACCGAGCAGCUGGUGAACGCCUAUGGCAUCCUGCGAGAGCGCCCGGAGCUGGCGGCGUCCGAGGGCGGCCCCUACACCGUGGACUUCCUGCAGCGUGUGCUGGUGGAGACCGUGCACCCCGGCAUGCUCGCCGACGCGCUGCUGCUGCUCUCCUGCCUCAGCCAGCUGGCGCACGAUGACGGCAAGCCCAUGUUCAUCUGGUGACGCUGGAGCUGGGAGGUCCAGGCUCGCUCGGCCCCACAGCCCUGUGCACGGCCAUUAAAGCUUCCCACAGACA